rnacentral:rRNA from 1 species
AACUUGGCUCAGGGACGAACGCUGGCGGCGUGCCUAAUACAUGCAAGUCGUACGCUUCUUUUUCCACCGGAGCUUGCUCCACCGGAAAAAGAAGAGUGGCGAACGGGUGAGUAACACGUGGGUAACCUGCCCAUCAGAAGGGGAUAACACUUGGAAACAGGUGCUAAUACCGUAUAACAAUCGAAACCGCAUGGUUUUGAUUUGAAAGGCGCUUUCGGGUGUCGCUGAUGGAUGGACCCGCGGUGCAUUAGCUAGUUGGUGAGGUAACGGCUCACCAAGGCCACGAUGCAUAGCCGACCUGAGAGGGUGAUCGGCCACAUUGGGACUGAGACACGGCCCAAACUCCUACGGGAGGCAGCAGUAGGGAAUCUUCGGCAAUGGACGAAAGUCUGACCGAGCAACGCCGCGUGAGUGAAGAAGGUUUUCGGAUCGUAAAACUCUGUUGUUAGAGAAGAAUCAAGGAUGAGGAGUAACUGUUCAUCCCCCUGACGGUACAAAGCCG